UAGGGAAUCUUCCACAAUGGACGCAAGUCUGAUGGAGCAACGCCGCGUGAGUGAAGAAGGUUUUCGGACCGUAAAGCUCUGUUGUUGGUGAAGAAGGAUAGAGGUAGUAACUGGCCUUUAUUUGACGGUAAUCAACCAGAAAGUCACGGCUAACUACGUGCCAGCAGCCGCGGUAAUACGUAGGUGGCAAGCGUUGUCCGGAUUUAUUGGGCGUAAAGCGAGCGCAGGCGGAAGAAUAAGUCUGAUGUGAAAGCCCUCGGCUUAACCGAGGAAUUGCAUCGGAAACUGUUUUCUUGAGUGCAGAAGAGGAGAGUAGAACUCCAUGUGUAGCGGUGGAAUGCGUAGAUAUAUGGAAGAAUACCAGUGGCGAAGGCGGCUCUCUGGUCUGCAACUGACGCUGAGGCUCGAAAGCAUGGGUAGCGAACAGGAUUAGAUACCCUGGUAGUCCAUGCCGUAAAACGAUGAGUGCUAAGUGUUGGGAGGCUUCCGCCUGCUCAGUGCUGCAGCUAACGCAUUAAGCACUCCGCCUGGGGGAGUACGACCGCAAGGUUGAAAC
rnacentral:rRNA from 1 species